UGCAAGUCGAACGGUAACAGGAAGCAGCUUGCUGCUUCGCUGACGAGUGGCGGACGGGUGAGUAAUGUCUGGGAAACUGCCUGAUGGAGGGGGAUAACUACUGGAAACGGUAGCUAAUACCGCAUAACGUCGCAAGACCAAAGAGGGGGACCUUCGGGCCUCUUGCCAUCGGAUGUGCCCAGAUGGGAUUAGCUAGUAGGUGGGGUAACGGCUCACCUAGGCGACGAUCCCUAGCUGGUCUGAGAGGAUGACCAGCCACACUGGAACUGAGACACGGUCCAGACUCCUACGGGAGGCAGCAGUGGGGAAUAUUGCACAAUGGGCGCAAGCCUGAUGCAGCCAUGCCGCGUGUAUGAAGAAGGCCUUCGGGUUGUAAAGUACUUUCAGCGGGGAGGAAGGCGAUAAGGUUAAUAACCUUGUCGAUUGACGUUACCCGCAGAAGAAGCACCGGCUAACUCCGUGCCAGCAGCCGCGGUAAUACGGAGGGUGCAAGCGUUAAUCGGAAUUACUGGGCGUAAAGCGCACGCAGGCGGUCUGUCAAGUCGGAUGUGAAAUCCCCGGGCUCAACCUGGGAACUGCAUUCGAAACUGGCAGGCUAGAGUCUUGUAGAGGGGGGUAGAAUUCCAGGUGUAGCGGUGAAAUGCGUAGAGAUGCUGGAGGAAUACCGGUGGCGAAGGCGGCCCCCUGGACAAAGACUGACGCU
rnacentral:rRNA from 1 species